rnacentral:tRNA from 5 species
GGCGCGGUAGUUCAGUCGGUUAGAAUGCCAGCCUGUCACGCUGGAGGUCGAGGGUUCGAGCCCCUUCCGCGUCGCCA